rnacentral:rRNA from 1 species
GAUGAACGCUGGCGGCGUGCCUAAUACAUGCAAGUCGAGCGAACAGACGAGGAGCUUGCUCCUCUGACGUUAGCGGCGGACGGGUGAGUAACACGUGGAUAACCUACCUAUAAGACUGGGAUAACUUCGGGAAACCGGAGCUAAUACCGGAUAAUAUAUUGAACCGCAUGGUUCAAUAGUGAAAGACGGUUUUGCUGUCACUUAUAGAUGGAUCCGCGCCGCAUUAGCUAGUUGGUAAGGUAACGGCUUACCAAGGCGACGAUGCGUAGCCGAACUGAGAGGGUGAUCGGCCACACUGGAGCUGAGACGCGGUCCAGACUCCUACGGGAGGCAGCAGUAGGGAAUCUUCCGCAAUGGGCGAAAGCUUGACGGAGCAACGCCGCGUGAGUGAUGAAGGUCUUCGGAUCGUAAAACUGUGUUUUUAGGGAAGAACAACUGUGUAAGUAACUAUGCACGUCUUGACGGUACCUAAUCAGAAAGCCACGGCUAACUACGUG